rnacentral:rRNA from 1 species
CCUACGGGUGGCAGCAGUGGGGAAUAUUGCACAAUGGGCGAAAGCCUGAUGCAGCAACGCCGCGUGAAGGAAGACGGUUUUCGGAUUUUAAACUUCUAUCAAUAGGGAAGAAAGAAAUGACGGUACCUAUAUAAGAAGCCCCGGCUAACUACGGGCCAGCAGCCGCGGGAAUACGUCGGGGGCAAGCGUUAUCCGGAUUUACUGGUUGUAAAGGGAGCGUAGACGGUGAUGCAAGUCAGAAGUGAAAGCCCGGGGCUCAACUCCGGGACUGCUUUUGAGACUGUGUGACUGGAGUGCAGGAGAGGUAAGCGGAAUUCCUGGUGUAGCGGUGAAAUGCGUAGAUAUCAGGAGGAACACCAGUGGCGAAGGCGGCUUACUGGACUGUAACUGACGUUGAGGCUCGAAAGCGUGGGGAGCAAACAGGAUUAGAUACCCCUGUAGUC